GAUCCAAAUGCAUCAGAAUUCAUUCAAUUAUUAAUCACAUUUAAUCCACUCUAAGCUAAUCAAAAUUAUGUUAAUUCCAAUUUGAGAGUAAUCAGAACAAGUUUAAUGAAUUGAAAAAGGAUUAGGGUUGAGUAAUUGUGACCAUUAGAGUUUCUCAAUCGGAUCUCUCUCCUCCUUUGUGAACCGAAACGGCGGCGCAUCUCCAUCCUCAGCAAACGGCGACGGCGGUGUUAUUCUCCGAUCAACUCUCGGAGCACCACCGUGAACCAGAAUGAAACAACCGGAUCUCAUCUCUCCGGCUAAACUCUCUUCUCACAAACGCACAUCUCUCGAUCGUCUCUCAUUUCAAUCGCUUUUGUUUAUCUUCGGUUUUGACUAACAGUAUUCCGACGAUGCUUUAAUGGCGUCGGUAAUAGAGAGAACACCGAAAUCCUUCAGGUAAUGCUUCGUUAAUCCGCUUCCCCCCUUCCCGAUACGUCUUUCUUCCUGAGGCCGCGAUUACUUUCUGCGUGAUGUUCUUAUUGUUGCAGGUGAAGAUUAUUGAUGGAGAGGUGAAGAUGCUUACGUUUCUUGUGUCAAAUUUGAAGAUGAUGAAGUUUAUGGCGAGUUCUUGCAAGGAUAACGAAGAUUCAUUGCUGAUUGUUGACGAAUCGAAUCAGUUUUGUAGAAGCAGGUGUCAAGGGAGAUUGUAGAGAGUGUAUUGAAGGUUUGUUGAUUGAAGAUUGGAGUUGUGUGAAGUUCGGUGAAUUGAUAUUGAUGGAGAUGCGGUAACGAUGAUGAAGAAUUGCGAAGGUGAAGAUUAAAGGUUGAAUUGAAGAGUUCGGUUGAGAGAAAGAUGAAGAUUGCGAUGGAUGAAGAUGAAGAUCGAGAGAGAGUUUCUCGGAUGAAUCAAUGUUGAAGAUCGGUGAGUGGUGAUUGAUGGAGGAUUGAGUUUGCUGAUUGAAGAUGAAGGACCGAUUGAAAGUGGUGAAGGUGACGAGAGGAAGAUGAAGAUUCAGACCCCAAGUUUGUUACGUUUUUCCGGUUAUUUUUCUUCUGUGAAUUCUGUUAUUGAUAUUUUUGUGAAAGAAAAUGAAGAUUAUGGGUCGGUUUCUUUUUGGUUUAGAAGCAGCAGGUUGAUUUUUGCGGGUGCAGCCUUUUUGGUCCGAACCGGUUUAUUCAGACGCUUAGCAGGAUUUGUGGUGGUAAAUUGGUCUCAGUUGCAGCCUUAGAGACCUGGUCACGAGGCACUGUAGUCAUUAAGUCAAGGCUCAUCAUAUGGCCUUUUUAAUCUUUUCCUCUAUGGCUUUUUUGUAAUGGACUUUAUAUUUCAAUUUGUUUUGUAAUGAAUGGAUGGGCUUUGCAAUUUGAAUAUGGGCCUUGCUGUA